GCACAGCUGUGCCCCUCACGCACUGCUGCAGCCCAGAGCCCUCUACUCUAAGUGCCCGCUGGGGUGCUGAAGGGGCCCCUGGCCUGGCUGGGCCUUGGCAGAAGCAUGGCGGGGAUCUCAGCACCCGCAGGCCCCGCUCUGCCCUCUGCUCCCUCUGAACCUGGCUACCAGCCAGCUUCUAGCUGGGAGGCGUGGGCAGGAAGGAAGAGGAGGCCGGAGCUGGGAGGAGGGACAGGCCUGGCCUUCUGGGGAGGCUCGGUGGCAACCCCCUGUCCUUGUGCUGUCUGCAGCUGCUGAGGGACAGGAGCAGAGCGGAGCAACACCUGCGCCAGAGCCUGCCUUACCUGGAGAACCCGGACGCAUCCUUGCGGGAGGCAGCUGUGAGGUUCAUUGGGCUCAUCGGGCAGCAAGUGAAGAAGCGGAGGAAGGAGAAGGUGCAGGAGCUGUGCACUGCCCUCCAGCCCCUGGAAAAUGAUGCGGAACCUUUAGUCCGUUGCCUGGUGUCACAGACCAUCAUGAACCUGAGGGUGCCAAGGAGAACAUCAAGAUUCCACCUCGGAGCACUGUGUCCCUGGCUCCCGAGAGCAUGGGCGAGGUGGCACCCUCCCGCCAGGACGUGACUCUGUUUGAGCA
rnacentral:lncRNA from 1 species